rnacentral:lncRNA from 1 species
AGUGUCCCCAGACUUUGAAGAGAGUGGGGAAGGGGCCUUCAGGGGGUCCCUGCAGGAAGGGAGCGCAGAGGCAGCGGCCGGCCCAGCGAGCAUCAUCAGAUACCUGUGGCUCUCAAGCCCUCCCUUCUGUCCCUGCCCCCUGCAGAAGGAUUCUCUGUUUUGGAAUCUCCAUCUUUGGGAGCUGUUCUACUUUCAUUUCUGUUGCUCUGAUGAAACAACCUACGAAAAAAACCACCUUAAUAGAGAAGGGAUUACUUUAGCUCUACCACUUGAGGUUCCUACAUUGGUUUCCCUGGAUGAUGGGCUGUAACCUCUAACCAAGAAAAGCACACAACUUGUUUAAGCCAGCCGAAUAUGUGAUGAACACACAGCAUCAUUAAAGCCAUGUAA